GAGUGGCAGGCCGCCCGGAGAGAGCUGGUGUCGUGUCACUGUGGACGAAGAGUAGAAUAAUACGGACGGGGAGGAUAAUUUAAUAAAUUCUCGGACGGUAUAGCCAGACGUAUAUGAGAGCCAAGAUAACCGGGAUUCUCCUUGCAGCCACUCGACGCUGUGUAUAAUUCUGGGUCACGUUGCCAACGCAGCUACGCGUAAAUCACCCUUCUACAUCAUCCAGACAAAGUGAGUCUUUGGAGAGCUGAUGUUCACAUAGAAAACAUCAGUAGGACAUGGAAGAAAAUUGUCUUAAGAUUUUGAAAUUACAUGCUGUAAUUAAAAUACUCACCACGUGAAAAAAGAACACGAAAAAAUGGUGGAGAACUUACGUGCCACCGACCA
rnacentral:misc_RNA from 1 species